rnacentral:rRNA from 1 species
CGCAGCCUGAUGCGCCAUGCCGCGUGUGUGAAGAAGGCCUUCGGGUUGUAAAGCACUUUCAGUCGUGAGGAAGGUGGUGGAGUUAAUAGCACUAUCAUUUGACGUUAGCGACAGAAGAAGCACCGGCUAACUCCGUGCCAGCAGCCGCGGUAAUACGGAGGGUGCGAGCGUUAAUCGGAAUUACUGGGCGUAAAGCGCAUGCAGGUGGUUUGUUAAGUCAGAUGUGAAAGCCCGGGGCUCAACCUCGGAAUAGCAUUUGAAACUGGCAGACUAGAGUACUGUAGAGGGGGGUAGAAUUUCAGGUGUAGCGGUGAAAUGCGUAGAGAUCUGAAGGAAUACCGGUGGCGAAGGCGGCCCCCUGGACAGAUACUGACACUCAGAUGCGAAAGCGUGGGGAGCAAACAGGAUUAGAUACCCUGGUAGUCCACGCCGUAAACGAUGUCUACUUGGAGGUUGUGGCCUUGAGCCGUGGCUUUCGGAGCUAACGCGUUAAGUAGACCGCCUGGGGAGUACGGUCGCAAGAUUAAAACUCAAAUGAAUUGACGGGGGCCCGCACAAGCGGUGGAGCAUGUGGUUUAAUUCGAUGCAACGCGAAGAACCUUACCUACUCUUGACAUCCAGAGAACUUUUCAGAGAUGAAUUGGUGCCUUCGGGAACUCUGAGACAGGUGCUGCAUGGCUGUCGUCAGCUCGUGUUGUGAAAUGUUGGGUUAAGUCCCGCAACGAGCGCAACCCUUAUCCUUGUUUGCCAGCGAGUAAUGUCGGGAACUCCAGGGAGACUGCCGGUGAUAAACCGGAGGAAGGUGGGGACGACGUCAAGUCAUCAUGGCCCUUACGAGUAGGGCUACACACGUGCUACAAUGGCGCAUACAGAGGGCAGCAAGCUAGCGAUAGUGAGCGAAUCCCAAAAAGUGCGUCGUAGUCCGGAUUGGAGUCUGCAACUCGACUCCAUGAAGUCGGAAUCGCUAGUAAUCGUGGAUCAGAAUGCCACGGUGAAUACGUUCCCGGGCCUUGUACACACCGCCCGUCACACCAUGGGGAGUGGGCUGCAAAAGAAGUAGGUAGUUUAACCUUCCGGGAGGACGCUUACCACUUUGUGGUUCAUGACUGGGGUGAAUCGAAACCAAGGUACCA